AGUGAACGCUGGCGGUAGGCCUAACACAUGCAAGUCGAACGGCAGCACAGUAAGAGCUUGCUCUUACGGGUGGCGAGUGGCGGACGGGUGAGGAAUACAUCGGAAUCUACUUUUUCGUGGGGGAUAACGUAGGGAAACUUACGCUAAUACCGCAUACGACCUACGGGUGAAAGCAGGGGAUCUUCGGACCUUGCGCGAUUGAAUUAGCCGAUGUCGGAUUAGCUAGUUGGCGGGGUAAAGGCCCACCAAGGCGACGAUCCGUAGCUGGUCUGAGAGGAUGGUCAGCCACCCUGGAACGGAGACACGGACCAGACUCCUACGGGAGGCAGCAGUGGGGAAUAUUGGACAAUGGGCGCAAGCCUGAUCCAGCCAUACCGCGUGGGUGAAGAAGGCCUUCGGGUUGUAAAGCCCUUUUGUUGGGAAAGAAAAGCAGCAGGUUAAUACCACGCUGUUCUGACGGUACCCAAAGAAUAAGCACCGGCUAACUUCGUG
rnacentral:rRNA from 1 species